rnacentral:rRNA from 1 species
UACGAAGGGGGCUAGCGUUGUUCGGAAUUACUGGGCGUAAAGGGCGCGUAGGCGGUGUGUCAAGUCAGGCGUGAAAUCCCUCGGCUUAACCGGGGAACUGCGUCUGAUACUGGAUGGCUUGAGUUUGGGAGAGGGAUGCGGAAUUCCAGGUGUAGCGGUGAAAUGCGUAGAUAUCUGGAGGAACACCGGUGGCGAAGGCGGCAUCCUGGACCAACACUGACACUGAGGAGCGAAAGCCAGGGGAGCAAACGGG